GCAGAUUUAAUACACUGUAAUAUUAUGUAUUUUCCAAAGCAGACUGUCCCUUUGGUGAAUCUGGGACUGGAUAUGAAGCUGCGUAAUUGAUAACUUAUCACUGUUAGUGGAUAAAGGCUUUUGAAAAUUUAAGGACCAAACAACAGCAAAUUUCUGAGAUCUCUGAACAUUCCCUGCAUUAUUCACAGUUGAUCGUACUGUUCCCUACCUGGGGAUCCCCAAAUGGACCAGGAUAUUGACAGCCCUUAUUAUUGCAGAACAGUAUGGAAGAGUACUAGAUCCUGGAGAGAGCACUGUAACGUAGUACUUCCUUCUUUCAUCACAGUGUUACUGUAAACCACUGGUGUUUGGCUGCCGUGAUGCAAAACUAGAUUCCUGACAUCACAAGGUCGUUUUCUGGGCUAUCAUAGGAAGUGAAAAAAAGGACUACUCCACUGCUGAAG